rnacentral:rRNA from 1 species
UACGGAGGGUGCGAGCGUUGUCCGGAAUCAUUGGGCGUAAAGGGCGCGUAGGUGGCUUGGCAAGCGUGCGGUGAAAGCUCGGGGCUCAACCCCGAGUCGGCCGUGCGAACUGCUAUGGCUCGAGCACUGUAGAGGCAGGCGGAAUUCCGGGUGUAGCGGUGGAAUGCGUAGAGAUCCGGAAGAACACCGGUGGCGAAGGCGGCCUGCUGGGCAGUAGCUGACACUGAGGCGCGACAGCGUGGGGAGCAAACAGG